GGGAAUCUACCGAGCCCUGCGGAAUAGCUCCGGGAAACUGGAAUUAAUACCGCAUACGCCCUACGGGGGAAAGAUUUAUCGGGGUUUGAUGAGCCCGCGUUGGAUUAGCUAGUUGGUGGGGUAAAGGCCUACCAAGGCGACGAUCCAUAGCUGGUCUGAGAGGAUGAUCAGCCACAUUGGGACUGAGACACGGCCCAAACCCCUACGGGAGGCAGCAGUGGGGAGUAUUGGACAAUGGGCGCAAGCCUGAUCCAGCCAUGCCGCGUGAGUGAUGAAGGCCCUAGGGUUGUAAAGCUCUUUCAACGGUGAAGAUAAUGACGGUAACCGUAGAAGAAGCCCCGGCUAACUUCGUGCCAGCAGCCGCGGUAAUACGAAGGGGGCUAGCGUUGUUCGGAAUUACUGGGCGUAAAGCGCACGUAGGCGGAUAUUUAAGUCAGGGGUGAAAUCCCGGGGCUCAACCUCGGAACUGCCUUUGAUACUGGGUAUCUUGAGUAUGGAAGAGGUAAGUGGAAUUGCGAGU
rnacentral:rRNA from 1 species